UACGGAGGGUGCGAGCGUUGUCCGGAAUUACUGGGCGUCAAGGGCGCGUAGGCGGCGCGGCACGUCGUCGGUGAAAGCUCGGGGCUCAACCCUGAGUCUGCCGGUGAUACGCCCGCGCUCGAGCUCACUAGAGGCAGAUGGAAUUCCGGGUGUAGCGGUGGAAUGCGUAGAGAUCCGGAAGAACACCGGUGGCGAAGGCGGUCUGCUGGGGUGAGGCUGACGCUGAUGCGCGACAGCGUGGGGAGCAAACAGG
rnacentral:rRNA from 1 species